rnacentral:piRNA from 1 species
UGGCCGGUUCAUAAGGAAAACACUGUGAGC